rnacentral:rRNA from 1 species
CAUCGCCUCUUGAUAUGCAAACAUGAGAGGUCCCGCCUGCCCUGUGACCACAAGUUUAACGGCCGCGGUAUUUUGACCGUGCAAAGGUAGCGUAAUCACUUGUCUUUUAAAUGAAGACCUGUAUGAAUGGCAUAACGAGGGCUAAGCUGUCUCCUCUCCCCAGUCAGUGAAGUUGAUCUUUCCGUGCAGAAGCGGGAAUGAAAACAUAAGACGAGAAGACCCUAUGGAGCUUAAGACACAAGGCAGCAAACGUUAAGACCCCUGAGCAAACAGCUACAACCAAGUUAGCACCUGCCCCUUUGUCUUUGGUUGGGGCGACCGCGGGGGAACGAAAAUCCCCCACGUGGAACAGGACCUGCUCCUCAAGACCAGAGCCUCAGCUCUAGUAAACAGAACAUCUGACCAUAAAGAUCCGGUAGUACCGAUCAACGGACCGAGUUACCCUAGGGAUAACAGCGCAAUCCCCUUUCAGAGCCCAUAUCGACAAGGGGGUUUACGACCUCGAUGUUGGAUCAGGACCCCCUAAUGGUGCAGCCGCUAUUAAGGGUUCGUUUGUUCAACGAUUAAAGUCCUACGUGAUCUGA